UACGUAGGGUCCGAGCGUUGUCCGGAAUUACUGGGCGUAAAGAGCUCGUAGGCGGUUUGUCGCGUCUGCUGUGAAAACUGGAGGCUCAACCUCCAGCCUGCAGUGGGUACGGGCAGACUAGAGUGCGGUAGGGGAGACUGGAAUUCCUGGUGUAGCGGUGAAAUGCGCAGAUAUCAGGAGGAACACCGAUGGCGAAGGCAGGUCUCUGGGCCACUACUGACGCUGAGAAGCGGAAAGCAUGGGGAGCGAACAGG
rnacentral:rRNA from 1 species